UCCAGAUGGAAGUCAUAUAUCGAUUUGUUCAAGAUUUAAGAGCUGUAAAUAAUCACAUCAUAAAAAGACAUCCUGUGGUUUCAAACACAAACAUAAUAAUUUCCUCUAUUCCCAGCAGUCACAUACUUGAGUGUAGUGGAUUUGUGCUCAGCAUUUUUCUCUAUACCAAUUAGCAAGGAUUCCAGAAAUAUAUUUGCUUUUACCUAGAAAGGUUCUCAGGGGCCUGGUGUCAAUUGCCACAAUGGCACGUUGAAAAGCCCUACCCUGUUUGCACAAAUUUUGGCCCAAGAUACAGAUAAUAUUCAAUUUAAACAUAGUCUCUUAAAUAUGUGGAUGAUUUCCUCUUGGCUUGACCAAAUGCAGCAGCAUGCCAAGAAGAUAGUAAACAUCUUCUGUUAGAAUUACAUAAGAGAGGACAAAAGGUCUUAAAGGCAAAGGUUCAAUGGUGUCUCCUCACAGUGAAAUAUUUAGGGUUAAUUUUAACUGAUGGUUCCCAUUCGUUUUCUCCUAAAUGCACUGAAUAUAUUAAAAACUACUAAGAAACAGUUAAGAGUGAUCUUGGGAGCAACAGGUUUUUAUAGGCAAUGGAUCCCUUGCUAUGGGGAAAUCACUAAACCCCUUAUCGCACAAAUAAAAGAUUCAAUCACUGAACUGCUUAGAUUAGAAAUAGAAUACCUUUCAGCUCUGUCAGAUUUAAAACGGGCUAUCUAGUCUGCCCCCGCUCUAGGUAUCCCAUAUUAUAAUAAACCAUUCACUUUAUACAUAUAUGAACAAAAAGGAAUGGCUUCAAGUGUUUUAACCCAAACUUUGGGACUGGUUCAGCAGCCAGUUGCUUAUUAAUCAGACCAACUAGACCCAGUAGCUUCAGGAACACUACCUACCAUGCCUUAAAGGUUUAGCUGCCACAACUUUAGUAACUAAGGCGGCUGAUUUAGUACUGGAAUGCCCAUUAACAAUUAUGUGCCCAUAUGAAGUAGAAGCAUUGUUGCUCAGGCAUAGAAAACAGGCAUUUUCAUUCAAAGACUCACAAGCUAUAAUGUAACUUUAUUAAGCAAUGAAAAUAUCACUUUAAAACAUUGUAUAACUCUUAACCCAGCCACUUUGCUUCCUGAUUUUCCAGUUUCAGGAGAACCAUUACAUAGCUGUAAAUUUAGUAUCCAUGGCUGAAAAGUCUCAAGAAAAUCUCCUAGACACUCCUUUAGACAACCCAGAUCCAGUCUUAUUCACUGAUGGUUCUUCAUUCAUGAGGGAUGGUAGAUGUUACACUGGAGGUGCAGUAAUCACAGAAUUUGCCACUGUAUGGUCAGCUUCAUUGCCCUCAAAUGUAAGUGCUGUUAAGAUUAAAAUUUAGCUUCUCUGCUAAAGGUAUUAUAUUUUAGAGGUUUAUUAGAGAUUAAGAAAUUAAGAAAAUACAAAAUAAAAAGCCCAUGCAACCUACAUUUUUGCCAGCUAGGUAGAGAGGUGCGUGUGCCCAGAUGUGGAAGCCAAGAGAGAGAGAGAAGGCGGAGUCAAUUUAAAAACAAUUUCUGUUCUUGGCCCAGGUGGAAAUUCAGAUGCACAAGGAAGUCUCCCCACCUUGGGGCUCCCAACUCCUGAAGGACCACUGUCUGGCCCAAGCAGAGAUGCUGGAGCAAGAGGGAAUGGCCCCUGGACCCAGAGGCCCUCAUCCCAGGGAUAGGAGACAAAAUGACAGCCAAACUGAGGAACUUUGCAGAAGUCUGGAUCUGGCCCGAGGGAAUACGGUAUCUGAGUGUGUAAAACAACCACCACCUUGAACCCCAAAAUAAGUUCAAGUCCUCCAUCUUGGCACAGAAUCUCAUCAAUCCCACAAGGAUUGAAUGAUUUCCUUGACCUUCUACUUUGUGGCACUGUAUAAUGCCUCUUUUGUGAUCCCUUCUUCUGAAAUCAGACGCAAUUAUUAUUCAAAGUCCUAUAAUAUUAAUCAACGGCAGGUUUCCACAAUCUAAAGUUUUAGUAAAGCAUUAAUAUUAGGGAUAAUGGAUGUUGUAAACUUAAAUUAGUGCAAAUUUUUUUAAAAGCAUUAAUACUGGUAACAUGCAUUUUAAGUACAAAAAAAUAAGAGAAAAAAGUAAACUCAAAUACUCUAUUGAACAUACAAGGAAACACAAUCAGAAAAAUUUUUUAAAGAUGGAUAAAAAUAUAUAGUUAACAUUCAAUGACACACUGUGUUAACGAAGGAGAGGCACAAUACAAAGGUUUCUCACCCAAAAAACGAGAUCCAUUUCCUUUUUAACUUGACCAUAAUCCACACUGUGAGCGCACAUAAUUUUCAUGAAGUAACACUUAAAAACAGUAGUACAGCAGCUAAUGCACAAUCAAAGAAAUGCCAAAAUCCCCAAAAUCACAAGUGCCCAUUAAUAAUACCAAACAAACCUAUCAUUAGGAUUCACAUGAGUUGCUGUUACAUUUAAAAAACCUUUGAAGCUGAUGGAUACUUGUCAAAAGUUCUCCAGAUCUAGCCAAUCUUUCAACCUUGUCUGAGAUAUUUUUAAUAAAAUCUAUUAUUGCCACCAUUCCAAAAUUUGGCAAGAGAGCCUAGAAAAACCUUUGUACUGCUAAUGAAAACUGUUUCUAUCUAAAAUGUCACCAAGAAUCAAGAUCAUUCUGGUGGAAGGGUAGAGUAAGCUGAAGAGUUACAAAUACAAAAACCAUCAAGGAACCACUAGGCUCCAUGAGAAAAUUCUUCCCACAUCCCAGAUGAGAUUAUAACCCAUCAAAGGGCAACCAAACCCCUUGGGAAAUCUCCCUCCUCUGGUAUGAGACUGUAACAGGGUAAAAAGAAUGUCUUUAUAUCCCAGCCAUUGCAAUGUGGAG